rnacentral:rRNA from 1 species
AGAGUUUGAUCCUGGCUCAGGAUGAACGCUGGCGGCGUGCUUAACACAUGCAAGUCGAACGGUGAAGCCCAGCUUGCUGGGUGGAUCAGUGGCGAACGGGUGAGUAACACGUGAGCAAUUUGCCCCUGACUCUGGGAUAAGCGCUGGAAACGGCGUCUAAUACUGGAUAUGAACCGUGGAGGCAUCUUCAACGGUUGGAAAGAUUUUUUGGGUCAGGGAUGAGCUCGCGGCCUAUCAGCUUGUUGGUGAGGGUAAUGGGCUCACCCAAGGCGUCGACGGGUAGCCGGCCUGAGAGGGUGACCGGCCACACUGGGACUGAGACACGGCCCAGACUCCUACGGGAGGCAGCAGUGGGAAUAUUGCACAAUGGGCGCAAGCCUGAUGCAGCAACGCCGCGUGAGGGAUGACGGCCUUCGGGUUGUAAACCUCUUUUAGCAGGGAAGAAGCGAAAGUGACGGUACCUGCAGAAAAAGCGCCGGCUAACUACGUG